AACAGAGCGUGCAGUGCAUCGCUGUCUGUAAAGUGGUCUCCUUGCUCCAGAGCUGAUCAGCCGCUGUGAUGUAACCUGAGGUGUGUUCAGUGUCCCAGUGUCGAAGAAUGUUUCUGGAAAAUGGAAUUCAGGGCAUGAAGGGAAGAGCUAGUCCCUGGAGCUUGGGGAGGUAUGGAUGAACACCGCAUGUAUUGAUGGAAUUUGUGCUGGGCCAUUAAGUAUUUAUCAAUGGAUACACAUGUGACUUGUUUUCAAGACAUGGGGCCUCACCAGCCUUUGUUCAUAUCUUCAGAUGCAAAAUGACGAGGUGAAGUUGUACACUGAGUCCAGAGCAAGUCACAGAAUUGCAGUGAGGACUCACCAGCUCCGUCAAGUUCAGGCUUGGCCCAGGUGCCUCUGGACACAGCCUUUGAAUCGCUUCUCGGCCUUUUGGCCAAGAUCAAGUGUGGACACAGCCUUUGCCUGGGCAUCCGCUCAGCUGCUGGAUUAACAGAAGUUGGAUUCAGAGCAUAUGGGAUCUCUUUUCUUUGAUCCAGUCCAAGAGGAUUGAGUUACUUAGCCCCUCGGAGAAGCUUGGGGAAACAUGGCCCCACCAGGAUGUGGGGGAGCACACGGCCCUGUGAGGCCCGGUCUUGUAGACGGUCCAGU
rnacentral:lncRNA from 1 species